rnacentral:sRNA from 1 species
CCAUGUAAAUUAUCAUGUUAUGGUAAUGAUGUUGCGGUGAAUCCCGUUAGCACGGGGCAUAAAUGGUUAACCUGCUUAUCAUGUGUGAUGCGAGUCAUUGUAUAACCAUUCAGUGGCUCACCGGGUAGCGUCGGCACUGCAACAUCUACUCUACUCAUUACUUAACUCAAGGCUACUUCGGUAGCCUUUUCUUUUCCAC